GAGCACCUUUUGCUCCGCCAGUCUAAACACCUUCUAUCACUAAAUCCUAUUCAUUCACUUUCAAAAUUUCCCUAAUAUCUGUCCAUUUCCAUCCCCAUGGUUCUACCAAGUUCAGUUAAGAUGAUGAGGUGGAUAAAAUCAAUAGCACCUGCUAGCUGGUCUUCUGACUUCCUAUCUUACUCCUCUGCAACGUUUUCCAUGCUCAACUGUAAUGAACUUUUAGGAAAUAGAGUCUCCAUUGCAAUGACCAUUCGCCAGUAAAAUUGUGUGGACAGGGGUAUGUUUAUGUUGUAGGACACACUGACACGCUACAGCUUCCAUGACAAGAUGUUUUCUAUGCUUUGUUUUGUUUUGUUGUUAUUGUUUUCUUGUUUGUUUGUAUGUUCUUUUUUUUUUCUUAUGGGUGGGAGCUUGCAAGGUUGGAGGGUAAAUAUGAGGGGACUGGGAGAUGAGUAAAACUGCAGUUCAUGAUGUGAAACUCACAAAGAAUCAAUAACAAUUAAAAAG
rnacentral:lncRNA from 1 species